rnacentral:rRNA from 1 species
AACGAACGCUGGCGGCAUGCCUAACACAUGCAAGUCGAACGAGACCUCCGGGUCUAGUGGCGCACGGGUGCGUAACGCGUGGGAACCUGCCCUUAGGUUCGGAAUAACUCUCCGAAAGGGGUGCUAAUACCGGAUAAUGUCUUCGGACCAAAGAUUUAUCGCCUUUGGAUGUGCCCGCGUUGGAUUAGCUAGUUGGUAGGGUAAAAGCCUACCAAGGCGACGAUCCAUAGCUGGUCUGAGAGGAUGAUCAGCCACACUGGGACUGAGACACGGCCCAGACUCCUACGGGAGGCAGCAGUGGGGAAUAUUGGAAAAUGGGCGAAAGCCUGAUCCAGCAAUGCCGGGUGAGUGAUGAAGGCCUUAGGGUUGUAAAGCUCUUUUACCCGGGAUGAUAAUGACAGUACCGGGAGAAUAAGCUCCGGCUAACUCCGUG